rnacentral:rRNA from 1 species
CCCUUAGAGUUUGAUCCUGGCUCAGAUUGAACGCUGGCGGCAGGCCUAACACAUGCAAGUCGAACGGUAACAGGAAGAAGCUUGCUUCUUUGCUGACGAGUGGCGGACGGGUGAGUAAUGUCUGGGAAACUGCCUGAUGGAGGGGGAUAACUACUGGAAACGGUAGCUAAUACCGCAUAACGUCGCAAGACCAAAGAGGGGGACCUUCGGGCCUCUUGCCAUCGGAUGUGCCCAGAUGGGAUUAGCUAGUAGGUGGGGUAACGGCUCACCUAGGCGACGAUCCCUAGCUGGUCUGAGAGGAUGACCAGCCACACUGGAACUGAGACACGGUCCAGACUCCUACGGGAGGCAGCAGUGGGGAAUAUUGCACAAUGGGCGCAAGCCUGAUGCAGCCAUGCCGCGUGUAUGAAGAAAGCCUUCCGGUUGUAAAGUACUUUCAGCGGGGAGGAAGGGAGUAAAGUUAAUACCUUUGCUCAUUGACGUUCCCCGCAGAAGAAGCAC